GGGUGAGUGAGAUGAGUGAGGUGAGUGAGAUGAGUGGGGUGAGUGAGAUGAGUGAGGUGAGUGGGGUGAGUGAGGUGAGUGAGAUGAGUGAGGUGAGUGAGGUGAGUGAGAUGAGUGAGGUGAGUGAGGUGAGUGAGAUGAGUGAGGUGAGUGAGAUGAGUGAGGUGAGUGGGGUGAGUGAGGUGAGUGAGGUGAGUGGGGUGAGUGGGGUGAGUGAGGUGAGUGAGGUGAGUGAGGACAAACACAUAGGCAAUAGACAAUAGACAUAUUUCCGACGACAUUAGGGCCAUUUUGGUGGUCCGUGUCAUAAAUCAUGGCCUGACAAUGAGGGAGGCAGAGAGUCCAGC
ensembl:lncRNA